UACGGGGGGAGCAAGCGUUGUUCGGAUUUACUGGGCGUAAAGCUCACGUAGGCGGAUCGUUAAGUCGGGGGUGAAAUCCUGGAGCUCAACUCCAGAACUGCCUUCGAUACUGGCGAUCUCGAGUCCGGAAGAGGUGAGUGGAACUCCUAGUGUAGAGGUGGAAUUCGUAGAUAUUAGGAAGAACACCAGUGGCGAAGGCGGCUCACUGGUCCGGUACUGACGCUGAGGUGCGAAAGCGUGGGGAGCAAACAGG
rnacentral:rRNA from 1 species